UACGUAGGGUGCGAGCGUUGUCCGGAAUUAUUGGGCGUAAAGGGCGCGUAGGCGGUAGCACAAGUCAGUUGUGAAAUCUCCGGGCUUAACUCGGAAAGGUCAACUGAUACUGUGCGACUAGAGUGCAGAAGGGGCAACUGGAAUUCUCGGUGUAGCGGUGAAAUGCGUAGAUAUCGAGAGGAACACCUGCGGCGAAGGCGGGUUGCUGGGCUGACACUGACGCUGAGGCGCGAAAGCCAGGGGAGCGAACGGG
rnacentral:rRNA from 1 species